rnacentral:rRNA from 1 species
UACGUAGGGUGCAAGCGUUUGUCCGGAAUUAUUGGGCGUAAAGAGCUCGUAGGCGGUCUGUUACGUCGGCUGUGAAAACCCGGGGCUCAACUCCGGGCCUGCAGCCGAUACGGGCAGACUAGAGUUCGGCAGGGGAGACUGGAAUUCCUGGUGUAGCGGUGAAAUGCGCAGAUAUCAGGAGGAACACCGGUGGCGAAGGCGGGUCUCUGGGCCGAACUGACGCUGAGGAGCGAAAGCGUGGGGAGCAAACAGG